UACAGAGGUCUCAAGCGUUGUUCGGAUUCAUUGGGCGUAAAGGGUGCGUAGGCGGAUCGGUAAGUACCUUGUGAAAUCCCACAGCUUAACUGUGGAACUGCUUGGUAUACUGCCGGUCUUGAGCCAGCUAGGGGCUACCGGAACAAAUGGUGGAGCGGUGAAAUGCGUAGAUAUCGGGAGGAACACCAGUGGCGAAGGCGACUUCCUGGCCUGUUCUUGACGCUGAGGCGCGAAAGCUAGGGGAGCAAACUGG
rnacentral:rRNA from 1 species